GUGCCAGCAGACGCGGUAAUACGUAGGCAGCGAGCGUUGUUCGGAGUUACUGGGCGUAAAGGGUGUGUAGGCGGUUCUCUAAGUUUGGUGUGAAAUCUCCCGGCUUAACCGGGAGGGUGCGCCGAAAACUGGGGGACUAGAGUGCGGGAUGGGAGAGUAGAAUUCCUGGUGUAGCGGUGAAAUGCGUAGAUAUCAGGAGGAAUACCGGUGGUGCAGACGGCCCUCUGGACCGCAACUGACGCUGAGACACGAAAGCGUGGGUAGCAAACAGGAUUAGAUACCCCGGUAGUCC
rnacentral:rRNA from 1 species